rfam:Eubacterium ruminantium strain ATCC 17233 genome assembly, contig: EI46DRAFT_scaffold00012.12
UUUUGCAGUAGAGGACGCAAUGAUCAUUAGUAGUCUGUCGGAUGAACCUUAAUUCAUACGAAGACAGGUGAAAGGGUGAUUUGCCGAAGUGAUCUGGUAAUUAAGGGAUCAGGUUGCUGGGAUCGUGAUUAAGAGUCACGGAACUGUCGUCAGAUUUAUCUGAUGGAGUGCUACUUAUAGA